rnacentral:rRNA from 1 species
ACGAACGCUGGCGGCGUGCUUAACACAUGCAAGUCGAACGGAAAGGCCCUGCUUUUGUGGGGUGCUCGAGUGGCGAACGGGUGAGUAACACGUGAGUAACCUGCCCUUGACUUUGGGAUAACUUCAGGAAACUGGGGCUAAUACCGGAUAGGAGCUCCUGCUGCAUGGUGGGGGUUGGAAAGUUUCGGCGGUUGGGGAUGGACUCGCGGCUUAUCAGCUUGUUGGUGGGGUAGUGGCUUACCAAGGCUUUGACGGGUAGCCGGCCUGAGAGGGUGACCGGCCACAUUGGGACUGGGAUACGGCCCAGACUCCUACGGGAGGCAGCAGUGGGGAAUAUUGCACAAUGGGCGGAAGCCUGAUGCAGCAACGCCGCGUGCGGGAUGACGGCCUUCGGGUUGUAAACCGCUUUCGCCUGUGACGAAGCGUGAGUGACGGUAAUGGGUAAAGAAGCACCGGCUAACUACGU